rnacentral:rRNA from 1 species
CAGUCGCCACGGGAAUACAGAGGGUGCAAGCGUUAAUCGGAAUUACUGGGCGUAAAGCGCGCGUAGGUGGUUUGUUAAGUUGGAUGUGAAAGCCCCGGGCUCAACCUGGGAACUGCAUCCAAAACUGGCAAGCUAGAGUACGGUAGAGGGUGGUGGAAUUUCCUGUGUAGCGGUGAAAUGCGUAAAUAUAGGAAGGAACACCAGUGGCGAAGGCGACCACCUGGACUGAUACUGACACUGAGGUGCGAAAGCGUGGGGAGCAAACAGGAUUAGAUACCCCUGUAGUCCCUGUCUCUUAUAC